rnacentral:tRNA from 1 species
CUGGGGAUAUAGUUCAGUUGGUAAACUGUUGCCUUACAUGCACAAGGCCCUGGGUUUGAUCCCCAGCACUAGA